rnacentral:rRNA from 1 species
AACGAACGCUGGCGGCAGGCCUAACACAUGCAAGUCGAACGCUCGUAGCAAUACGGGAGUGGCAGACGGGGGAGUAACGCGUGGGAACGUGCCCUUUGGUUCAGAAUAACCCAGGGAAACGUGGGCUAAUACCGCAUACGCCCGACAGGAGAAAGAUUUAUCGCCGAAGGAUCGGCCCGCGUCGGAUUAGCUAGUUGGUGAGGUAACGGCGCACCAAGGCGACGAUCCGUAGCUGGUCUGAGAGGAUGAUCAGCCACACUGGGACUGAGACACGGCCCAGACUCCUACGGGAGGCAGCAGUGGGGAAUAUUGGACAAUGGGCGAAAGCCUGAUCCAGCCAUGCCGCGUGAGUGAAGAAGGCCUUAGGGUUGUAAAGCUCUUUCAGCGGGGAAGAUAAUGACGGUACCCGCAGAAGAAGCCCCGGCUAACUUCGUGCCAGCAGCCGCUGUAACAC